rnacentral:rRNA from 1 species
CGCGGCCUAUCAGCUUGUUGGUGGGGUAACGGCCUACCAAGGCGAAGACGGGUAACCGGCCUUAGAGGGUAGUCGGUCACACUGGAACUGAGACACUGUCCAGACUUCUACGGAAGGCUGCAGUCGAGAAUCUUUCGCAAUGCCCGAAAGGGUGACGAAGCGACGCCGCGUGGAUGAAGAAGGCCUUCGGGUUGUAAAAUCCUGUCAGGAGUUAAGAAAUGUAGGUGCGAUAAUACCGUGCCUAUUUGACAAAGGCUCCAAAGGAAGCCACGGCUAACUCUGUGCCAGCAGCCGCGGUAAUACAGAGGUGACAAGCGUUGUUCGGAAUUAUUGGGCGUAAAGAGCACGUAGGUGGAUUUGUUAGUCAGAUGUGAAAGCCUUUCGUUCAACGGAAGAAUUGCAUCUGAAACUACAAACCUUGAGUAUAGGAGGGGAGAGUGGAACUUCUGGUGGAGCGGUGAAAUGCGUAGAUAUCAGAAGGAACGCCGGCGGCGAAAGCGACUCUCUGGCCUAUAACUGACACUGAGUGUGCGAAAGCUAGGGGAGCAAACGGGAUUAGAUACCCCGGUAGUCCUAGCCGUAAACGAUGGGCACUAAGUAGGGGGAACUACCGAUGUUCUCUCUGCCGUAGCAAACGCAUUAAGUGCCCCGCCUGGGGAGUACGG